AUCACGGAGAGUUUGAUCCUAGCUCAGGACGAACGCUGGCGGCAGGCUUAACACAUGCAAGUCGCACGAGAACGUUCUGGCUUUGCCAGGACAAGUACAGUGGCGGACGGGUGCGUAUCGCGUAGAUAACCUGCCCUUAGGCGCGGGACAAUCACGGGAAACCGUGGCUAAUACCGCACGUCGUCUGGGCCCUGCAUGGGGACCAGAUGAAAGCUUGGGGUUACCCAGGCGCCUUGGGAUGGGUCUGCGUUGGAUUAGCUUGUUGGUGAGGCAACGGCUCACCAAGGCGACGAUCCAUAGCUGGUCUGAGAGGACGAUCAGCCACACUGGGACUGAGACACGGCCCAGACUCCUACGGGAGGCAGCAGUGGGGAAUCUUGCACA
rnacentral:rRNA from 1 species